rnacentral:rRNA from 1 species
GACGAACGCUGGCGGCGUGCCUAAUACAUGCAAGUUGAGCGCUGAAGGUUGGUACUUGUACCAACUGGAUGAGCAGCGAACGGGUGAGUAGCGCGUGGGGAAUCUGCCUUUGAGCGGGGGACAACAUUUGGAAACGAAUGCUAAUACCGCAUAAAAACUUUAAACACAAGUUUUAAGUUUGAAAGAUGCAAUUGCAUCACUCAAAGAUGAUCCCGCGUUGUAUUAGCUAGUUGGUGAGGUAAAGGCUCACCAAGGCGAUGAUACAUAGCCGGCCUGAGAGGGUGAUCGGCCACAUUGGGACUGAGACACGGCCCAAACUCCUACGGGAGGCAGCAGUAGGGAAUCUUCGGCAAUGGACGAAAGUCUGACCGAGCAACGCCGCGUGAGUGAAGAAGGUUUUCGGAUCGUAAAACUCUGUUGGUAGAGAAGAACGUUGGUGAGAGUGGAAAGCUCAUCAAGUGACGGUAACUACCCAGAAAGGGACGGCUAACUACGUG